rnacentral:tRNA from 1 species
GGCAGAGUCAGCUAAAUUUAAGCUGUUGGGCUCAUGCCCCGAAAAUGGUAUGAUUGAAUAUCCUCUGCUA